CAUGACAGAGCCCACAACAACCAUGACUUUUAUCACCAUCUUCAUCUGGAUAUUUGCCCUCUGUCUCCAAGAGUCCAGAGGCCAGUACACUGUGACUCAAACUCCUGCAGUGGAAACUGUUUCAGUGGGUCAUUCAGUCAGUCUCAACUGUAAGACCAGCAGUGCUGUGUACAGUGACCGCUAUGGACAGAGGAUGGCCUGGUAUCAACAGAAACCUGGAGGAGCUCCUAAACUCCUAAUAUACUUAGCUAAAACCCUUCAGUCUGGGACUCCAUCUAGAUUCAGUGGCAGUGGAUCUGGGAGUGACUUCACUCUGACCAUCAAUGGAGUCCAGGCUGAAGAUGCAGGAGAUUACUACUGUCAGAGUUUCCACAGUGGUAAUGUGUUCACACAGUGAUACAGAGCCGUACAAAAACCUCCCUCAGUCAGACUGCACAGUGACUGUACUGCUACAGCUGGGACCUACUGCAGGUGCUGAGGGGAGGAGAU